CAGCAGCCGCGGGAAUACAGAGGGUGCGAGCGUUAAUCGGAUUUACUGGGCGUAAAGCGUGCGUAGGCGGCUUUUUAAGUCGGAUGUGAAAUCCCUGAGCUUAACUUAGGAAUUGCAUUCGAUACUGGGAAGCUAGAGUAUGGGAGAGGAUGGUAGAAUUCCAGGUGUAGCGGUGAAAUGCGUAGAGAUCUGGAGGAAUACCGAUGGCGAAGGCAGCCAUCUGGCCUAAUACUGACGCUGAGGUACGAAAGCAUGGGGAGCAAACAGGAUUAGAGACCCCCGUAGUCCCUGUCUCUUAUAC
rnacentral:rRNA from 1 species